UACGAAGGGGACUAGCGUUGUUCGGAAUUACUGGGCGUAAAGCGCACGUAGGCGGCUUUCUAAGUCAGGGGUGAAAUCCUGGAGCUCAACUCCAGAACUGCCUUUGAUACUGGAGAGCUCGAGUCCGGAAGAGGUGAGUGGAACUCCGAGUGUAGAGGUGAAAUUCGUAGAUAUUACGGAAGAACACCAGUGGCGAAGGCGGCUCACUGGUCCGGUACUGACGCUGAUGUGCGAAAGCGUGGGGAGCAA
rnacentral:rRNA from 1 species